CAGUAGCCGCGGUAAUACGGAGGGUGCAAGCGUUAAUCGGAAUUACUGGGCGUAAAGCGUGCGUAGGCGGUUCCUUAAGUCUGUUGUGAAAGCCCCGGGCUCAACCUGGGAAUGGCAAUGGAUACUGGCGAGCUAGAGUGUGUCAGAGGAUGGUGGAAUUCCCGGUGUAGCGGUGAAAUGCGUAGAGAUCGGGAGGAACAUCAGUGGCGAAGGCGGCCAUCUGGGACAACACUGACGCUGAGGCACGAAAGCGUGGGGAGCAAACAGGAUUAGAUACCCCCGUAGUCCCUGUCUCUUAUAA
rnacentral:rRNA from 1 species